rnacentral:rRNA from 1 species
CGACUUAACUGAACCUUCGGGGAACGUUAAGGGCGUCGAGCGGCGGACGGGUGAGUAAUGCCUAGGAAAUUGCCCUGAUGUGGGGGAUAACCAUUGGAAACGAUGGCUAAUACCGCAUGAUGCCUACGGGCCAAAGAGGGGGACCUUCGGGCCUCUCGCGUCAGGAUAUGCCUAGGUGGGAUUAGCUAGUUGGUGAGGUAAUGGCUCACCAAGGCGACGAUCCCUAGCUGGUCUGAGAGGAUGAUCAGCCACACUGGAACUGAGACACGGUCCAGACUCCUACGGGAGGCAGCAGUGGGGAAUAUUGCACAAUGGGCGCAAGCCUGAUGCAGCCAUGCCGCGUGUGUGAAGAAGGCCUUCGGGUUGUAAAGCACUUUCAGUCGUGAGGAAGGUGGUGUAGUUAAUAGCUGCAUUAUUUGACGUUAGCGACAGAAGAAGCACCGGCUAACUCCGUGCCAGCAGCCGCGGUAAUACGGAGGGUGCGAGCGUUAAUCGGAAUUACUGGGCGUAAAGCGCAUGCAGGUGGUUUGUUAAGUCAGAUGUGAAAGCCCGGGGCUCAACCUCGGAAUAGCAUUUGAAACUGGCAGACUAGAGUACUGUAGAGGGGGGUAGAAUUUCAGGUGUAGCGGUGAAAUGCGUAGAGAUCUGAAGGAAUACCGGUGGCGAAGGCGGCCCCCUGGACAGAUACUGACACUCAGAUGCGAAAGCGUGGGGAGCAAACAGGAUUAGAUACCCUGGUAGUCCACGCCGUAAACGAUGUCUACUUGGAGGUUGUGGCCUUGAGCCGUGGCUUUCGGAGCUAACGCGUUAAGUAGACCGCCUGGGGAGUACGGUCGCAAGAUUAAAACUCAAAUGAAUUGACGGGGGCCCGCACAAGCGGUGGAGCAUGUGGUUUAAUUCGAUGCAACGCGAAGAACCUUACCUACUCUUGACAUCCAGAGAACUUUCCAGAGAUGGAUUGGUGCCUUCGGGAACUCUGAGACAGGUGCUGCAUGGCUGUCGUCAGCUCGUGUUGUGAAAUGUUGGGUUAAGUCCCGCAACGAGCGCAACCCUUAUCCUUGUUUGCCAGCGAGUAAUGUCGGGAACUCCAGGGAGACUGCCGGUGAUAAACCGGAGGAAGGUGGGGACGACGUCAAGUCAUCAUGGCCCUUACGAGUAGGGCUACACACGUGCUACAAUGGCGCAUACAGAGGGCAGCAAGCUAGCGAUAGUGAGCGAAUCCCAAAAAGUGCGUCGUAGUCCGGA